UGUCUUUUAGUAAAUUAUUUAAAGUCUAAUCUGCUCACUGAAAUUUAAAGAGCCGCAGUAUUUUGACUGUGCAAAGGUAGCAUAAUCAAUAGUUUUUUAAUUGAAAACUUGUAUGAAAGAUUGAAUGAGAAAUUAAUUUUCUUUUUUUAAAAAACUGAAGUUAAAGUUUAAGUGAAAAUUCUUAAAUGUUGUAAAAAGACGAGAAGACCCUAUAGAUUUUUAUUAAUUUAAGGGGUUUGGCAUAAUUAAAUCAGUUUAAUUAAUUUAAUUGGGGUGAUUUUGUAAUAUAAAAAACUUAAAUUAAAUAUACCAUUAAUAAAUGAAUAUUUAGAUUCAAAUUUUUUGGAUAAAGAUUAAAUUACCUUAGGGAUAACAGCGUAAUUUUAUUUAAAAGUUCAUAUUUAUAAUAAAGUUUACGACCUCGAUGUUGAAUUAAGAUAAAAUAUUGGAGCAGAAAUUAAUAUUAUUAGUCUGUUCGACUAUUAAAUUC
rnacentral:rRNA from 1 species